UGGAAAUUUUGAGAAUUGGGUGCGUUGAGAGAUAGGAUGGGUGUGCCGCACUGACAACUCGACACUUCCACUGCCAUCUCCAACCCCCGCUUAAACCCCCCAAAUUCCCUUCCAUCACUUGACUUGUUCCUCCCAUGGCUUCUGCAGUCUUCAGACUCCUGAAGAGCCACCAAAGUCUCACUGCAAAUUCAACCCCAACAAAAUAUUUCUCCAGAUUAAGGCACACUGCCAGUACAAGAAACCUCUACUCCAGAAUCAGUCCUCUGGGUGACCCUUCUCUCAGCGUUGCCCCAGUCCUCGACGAGUGGGUUCAACAGGGCCGGAAAGUCAAUUACUUCGAGCUCCACCGCAUCGUCCGGGACCUCCGCGCCCGAAAGCGGUUCCGGCACGCCCUUGAUGUUUCUGAAUGGAUGAGUACUAAAGGUUUGUGCCAAUUUUUACCCGGGGAUUGCGCCGUGCAGCUUGAUCUCAUUGGUCACGUUCACGGUCUGGAUGCUGCAGAGAGCCGCUUUAAUAGCUUGAGCGAUGAGGAAAAAAGUGACAAAGUUUAUGGUGCACUUCUAAAUUGUUAUGUCAGAGAAGGCCUGGUCGAUAAAUCUAUUUCUCAUAUGCAGAAGAUGGAAGAGUUGGGCUAUGUUUCCACUCUCACCUACAAUGACAUUAUGUGUCUUUAUAUGCAUACAGGCCAGCCCGAGAAAAUCCCUGAUGUAAUGUUUGAGAUGAAGGAGAAGGGUGUUUCUCCUGACAGUUUUAGCUACAGGAUUUGCAUGAGCUCUUAUGGGGUGAGGUCUGAUCUAAGCAGCGUGGAGAAAGUUUUGGAAAAAAUGGAGAGCCAACCGCACAUCUCCAUGGAUUGGAUUACUUAUGCUAUGGUAGCCAAUUUAUACAUAAAAGCAGGUCUGCCCGACAAAGCGUUGGUCUACCUGGGAAAGAGUGAAGAGAAGGUGAAUAGAGAUGCACUUGGAUACAACCAUCUGAUUACUCUUUAUGCAAGCCUUGGAUAUAAAGAUGACAUGAUGAGGUUGUGGAACCUUGAAAAAGCCAAGUGCAAAAAGCAAAUCAACCGGGACUAUAUAACCAUGCUUGGUUCUCUUGUGAAGCUUGGUGAGCUUGAAGAAACUAAAAAAUUGCUAGAGGAGUGGGAAUCAUCUUGUCACUGUUAUGAUUUUCGAGUGCCAAAUGUCCUCCUGAUCGGAUAUUGUCAGAAGGGAUUGGUUGAACAAGCUGAAGAAACUCUUCGAGACAUUGUCAAAAGAGGCAAGACUCCAAUCCCAAAUAGCUGGUCUAUUCUUGCUGCAGGGUAUGUGGACAAGCAGAAGAUGCAGAAGGCUUUUGAGUGCAUGAUGGAAGCUGUGCAUGUACGGGCAAAUAACACAGGAUGGAAUCUGAAAUCUGGUUUGGUUUCGAAUGUAUUGAAUUGGAUUGGAGAUAACGGAGACAUUGAACAAGUAGAAGCUUUUGUGACCUUAAUGAAGACUGUGAUUCCAGUAAAUAGUGAAAUGUACCAUGCCUUAAUGAAGGCAUACAUCAGAAGCGGGAAAGAAGUAGAAGGGCUAUUACAGAGCAUGAAAGAAGAUCAAAUAGAGGCCGAUGAGGAAAUCGAUAGGUUAAGACAGACGCAAUGCUGAAACGACAUGAGGCUUUUUUUAUGGUUAAUACUUUUCUCAAGUGAAUUUGGAAGGGGUUUUCAUGCACAACAAAUAACCUCAGCCUUCAUCGUUGACACAUUCGGUCACAACAAAGAGCCAAACAUGGUACUGGAGGUGCUCCCGGCUGCAACCAACAUUCAUCCGAAAGGUUCGGUGUUCCAUUGGGAAUGUUUCGACAUUAAGAACAAUGUGUUCAUGUAAUUCUGUAAGAAACAUUGAUUGAAGGAGUUAUAUGCCCACGUAAACGUGCAAUUUGAGUCAAAACGUGUGAGUGCUAGUUCUCUUCCUCCGCCAAUGUCGGGUUGGUGUCUCUUUGUAUUGAGAGUUUGAUCUCAUGUCGAAGAAUAUGUCAGAGUUUUGAUGUCUAGAUAUAUCAUGUUCUUGGUUCAAUUUGACGAGCAAGAUUAGGCUGUCAAAUUGAAACAAUGUAUUUGGAAUGUAAUUGAAGUGCAUAGGUAGGUUGUAUUUUUAUGGGAACCGUUAUUAGCAUUCUAAAAAUUUCAUUUU